rnacentral:rRNA from 1 species
AUUGAACGCUGGCGGCAGGCUUAACACAUGCAAGUCGAGCGAGCGGCGGACGGGUGAGUAAUGUCUGGGAAACUUCCUGAUGGCGGGGGAUAACUACUGGAAACGGUAGCUAAUACCGCAUACCAUCAGAUGUGCCCAGAUGGGCUUAGCUUGUUGGUGGGGUAAGGGCUCACCAAGGCGACGAUCCCUAGCUGGUCUGAGAGGAUGACCAGCCACACUGGAACUGAGAAACGGCCCAGACUCCUACGGGAGGCAGCAGUGGGGAAUAUUGCACAAUGGGCGCAAGCCUGAUGGAGCCAUGCCGCGUGUGUGAAGAAGGCCUUCGGGUUGUAAAGUACUUUCAGCGGGGAGGCGUUACCCGAAGAGGAAGCAACGGCUAACUCCGUGCCAGCAGCCGCGGUAAUAC